UGUAAUAUUUGCCACCAUGCAAAUAACAUAUGAACACUGUGUCUCUCUCUUUCAUAAAUUCGAUACUUGAAUCUAUAUGGGAAUAUAAAAUAAAUCAGUAAUAUAUAUAUAAACAUUGUCAUUGCAUUAAGUCAUUGUUUUGUCAAAUAAAUCUGUUUUCAUCACCAACUCUAUUUCCACCUGGAAUGAACACUUAGAUUUAGAAUAUCACGGAGAUUCUCUUCAAUCUGAACUUUGUUACUACCUGUUUUAAGUUUCAGGAACAUUUGUCCAAACUAUCUCUGUAG
rnacentral:lncRNA from 1 species